UCUCUCCGUGAGAUUCAUGAGACGAGCAGCAAAAUAACUGAAAAAAAGAGCUAAGGGGAUAAAAAUUCACUUUUUGUUGUUUAUUUUCUGUGAGCCUCCAGAUACAGCUCCAGCUUGACCUGCGACCUCUGAGAUGACCUCUGACCUCUGCUAAAAUGAGCGAUUCUGUCCAGUUUGAACUUUUGUUGGACUCCUCCGCAGUACGAUGAGAAAUAAAAACCGGUAUCUGACGACAACGUCAUCUGUUCAGUCUGGGAGGUGAAGAAAAUGAGGAAACCUCAUCUCUCUGUAAGUCAAAGUGACUCAAGUCACAGAAUCAAGAGUCAAUCGCUGAAAGUAAGUGAAAUAAUAUUUGCAUCAUCAGGAUGUGUUUCUGUCAGAAUAAAGCAGAUCUUCAUCCUGUAAUACCAGAAACACUUCAAAUAGCUAUUAAACAUCAAAACACUGACAGAUGAAUGAUAUGUGUGUCAUGCGUAUUUAUCUUCAAAUUUUACAUUUGAUUUAUCUAUCAUUUUAUCUCUGAGGUUUAUCAUUCGGCUGCAUUUUCUUGUUUCGUUACGAAUCUGCAGGUGUUUUUAUGCUCCGCCGAGAAAACUUUGUUUAUAAAAUGAAAGACCUGAAAUUAAAAUGACCCACAAGAUCACAAAUGAUGACAGCGGACACUACCUUACUUUACUACAUCAGGUUUAUGUGUUAUUAAUAAAAGCAUGAACCCGGAAAAAAUCAAACUCGGAGAUUCAGAGACAGGUGUGUGAUGAUCCUCAUGUCUGUAAAAACCUGCAGAAACCAUGGAUUUGACAUAAAAUGAAAGAAUGAACUCAUGUUUCUAUCCAACUACAGUCAAACAAGUCUCAUAGGAGAGAGUCCCAAUAAUAUACUAAAGAUCUUGUUGUAGAUUUCUUUAGAAGUGAACGGUCUAAUAUCAUUCAAAACCUCCUAGCUUUUAGAACGUAUAACAUCAUGUAAAAGAUGAAUCAGUAAUUGUGUUUGGUGUCUGUUGAUGAGUGACUGUGUUCAGGUAAAUGAUGUGGAGAGUGUUUGCAUAUUGAUGAGCUGCUUCAGUGCUCUGAGAGUGUUUAUAGUGCUGUGACUUUAACACUUCAUCACCGACACACACAACAAUCUUCAUCAACAUGACCUUCAUCAUCAUCUUCAUCUGGACUCUCACAGCGUUUGCUCAAGAGUGUAGAGGACAGAUCAGCGUCACUCAGAGUCCCUCAACAACAGCAGAGAGACGAGGAGAAACAGUCAGAAUCAGCUGCAAAACCAGUACAGAUGUGUAUUAUCAUAGUGCUUUUGGACAUUAUUUAGCCUGGUACUUACAGAAACCUGGAGAAGCUCCUAAACUCCUGAUUUAUUUAGCAAACCGUCUCCAGUCAGGAACUCCAUCUAGAUUCAGUGGCAGUGGAUCUAACAGUGAUUUCUCUCUGACCAUCAGUGGAGUCCAGACUGAAGAUGCUGGACAUUAUUACUGUCAGAGUUAUCACAGCACUGGUAAUGGUGUGUACACUUUUGGUGGAGGAACUAAACUCACGAUCACUGGUCCCGCAGUGAAGCCCUCCGUGUCUCUGCUGCCUCCCUCUUCUCUGCAGAUCUCUGGAGACUCAGCAGCACUGCUCUGCCUGCUCAGCUCUUACUCUCCACAGGGGGCGCAGGUGAGCUGGACGCUGGACGGGUCAGAGGUCAGCGACGGGGUUCAGACCAGCGCAGAGAGCGAGCGGGACGGACUCUACAGCCGCAGCAGCGUCCUGAGCCUCAGCAAAGCACGCUGGGAAAACGCCAACAGCUUGGUCUGCAGAGUAACACACGAAGGAGGAGAUCAAGAGAGAGAGUUCCUCAAGAGCUCCGAGUGCUGAUGUUUCUCCAGUGAAGAGCAGCAGGAUUCACAGCAGAUUUACAGCUCAAUACUCAAGCGCUCUUUCCAUCUGCUGCCGUUGCUGUUCGUUCAAUAAAGCUUCUGAACGCCUUA